rnacentral:rRNA from 1 species
GACAGAGGUGGCAAGCGUUGUUCGGAUUCAUUGGGUGUAAAGGGUGCGUAGGCGGUUUGGAAAGUCGGACGUGAAAGCCCACAGCUUAACUGUGGAAAUGCGUCCGAAACUUCUAGACUAGAGUGCGAGAGAGGUGAAGGGAAUUCCCGGUGUAAGGGUGAAAUCUGCAGAGAUCGGGAGGAACACCAGUAGCGAAGGCGCUUCACUGGCUCGCAACUGACGCUGAGUGCACGAAGGUAUGGGGAGCAAA